rnacentral:rRNA from 1 species
UACAGAGGUCCCAAGCGUUGUUCGGAUUCAUUGGGCGUAAAGGGUGCGUAGGUGGCAUGGUAAGUCGGGUGUGAAAUCCCGGGGCCCAACCCCGGAACUGCACUCGAUACUGCCGUGCUCGAGUACUGGAGAGGAGACUGGAAUUUACGGUGUAGCAGUGAAAUGCGUAGAUAUCGUAAGGAAGACCGGUGGCGAAGGCUAGUCUCUGGACAGUUACUGACACUGAGGCACGAAGGCCAGGGGAGCAAACGGG